rnacentral:misc_RNA from 1 species
GAUGAAGAACGUAGCGAAAUGCGAUAAGUAGUGUGAAUUGCAGAAUUCAGUGAAUCAUCGAGUCUUUGAACGCACAUUGCGCCCCCUGGUAUUCCGGGGGGCAUGCCUGUCCGAGCGUCAUUGCUGCCCUCAAGCACGGCUUGUGUGUUGGGCCUCCGUCCUCCUCCCGGGGGACGGGCCCGAAAGGCAGCGGCGGCACCGCGUCCGGUCCUCGAGCGUAUGGGGCUUCGUCACCCGCUCUUGUAGGCCCGGCCGGCGCUUGCCGACACAUCAGUCUUUUUGCCAGGUUGACCUCGGAUCAGGUAGGGAUACCCGCUGAACUUAAGCAUAUCAAUAAGCGGAGGA